rnacentral:rRNA from 1 species
UACAGGGGGGGCAAGCGUUGUUCGGAAUUACUGGGCGUAAAGGGCGCGUAGGCGGCCUUCUAAGUCAGACGUGAAAUCCCUCGGCUUAACCGGGGAACUGCGUCUGAUACUGGAUGGCUUGAGUUCGGGAGAGGGAUGCGGAAUUCCAGGUGUAGCGGUGAAAUGCGUAGAUAUCUGGAGGAACACCGGUGGCGAAGGCGGCAUCCUGGACCGACACUGACACUGAGGAGCGAAAGCCAGGGGAGCAAACGGG